GGUUAUGUUGUGGUUUUUGUACAUCUUGAUUAAUUGGUGUUUUCAUUUAAUAGCCUUUCUAUAUUCACUAUUGAAAGUGAUAAAAUAAAUCAGACGUUCAUCAACGGGAAUCAGCGGUCUCAACAUUAUCUUACUGGUUCACUACCACGGGACUAGAGAGUCCCGGAUUUUUGGGAG